GUAACAGUUUUUUCUCAGCGAAAAAAUGCUUUUAAAAAUCUUUGUAAAUUUGUUUUGGCGGAAAAUAAAUUUAGAAGGGAUUUUAAAGGGGUUUUAAAAGAUUUAUAAGGGAUUUUAAAAAGAUUUUAAAAGAUUUACAAGAGAUUUUAAAAGGUUUUUAAAAUAUUUACAACGGAUUUUAAAGGGCUUUAAAAGAUUUACAAAGGUUUUCUAAAGAUUUUUAAAGGGUUUAAAAAUAUUUUAAAAGAUUUACAAGGGAUUUUAAAAGGGUUUUAAAAUAUUUACAAGGGAUUUUAAAAGGAUUUAAAAAGACUUACAAGGGAUUUUAAAAGGGUUUUAAAAGAUUUAUAAGGGAUUUUAAAAGGUUUUUAAAAAAUUUACAAGAGUUUUUAAAGGGUCUACUUGUAAAUUCUUUAAAAAUCUUUUUAAAACCCUUAUACAUAUUUUAAUACCCUUUUAAACCCUUUUAAAAUCUCUUGUAAAUCUUUUAAAACCCUUUUUAAAUCCCUUGUAAAUCUUUUAAAACACUUUUAAACCCUUUACAAAUCUUUAAAAAACCUUUGUAAAUCUUUUAAAGCCCUUUAAAAUUUCUUGUCAAUAUUUUAAAACCCUUUUAAAAUCCCUUGUAAAUCGUUUAAAACCCUUUUAAAAUCACUUGUAAAUAUUUUGAAACCUUUUCAAAACAAUUUUAAACCCUUUUAAAAUCUUUAAAAA
rnacentral:sRNA from 1 species